UACAGGGGGUGCAAACGUUGCUCGGAAUUAUUGGGCGUAAAGCGCGCGUAGGCGGCUACUUAUGUCGGAUGUGAAAGCCCCUGGCUCAACUGGGGAAGUGCACCCGAAACUGAGUAGCUGGAGUACGAAAGAGGGUCGCGGAAUUCCCGGUGUAGAGGUGAAAUUCGUAGAUAUCGGAAGGAACAUCAGUGGCGAAAGCGACUUCCUGGACCAGUACCGACGUUCAGGCACGAAAGCGUGGGGAGCAAACAGG
rnacentral:rRNA from 1 species